GAGGGUAUAGCUCAGUGGUAGAGCGUGUGCUUAGCAUGCAUGAGGAACUGGGUUCAAUCCCCAGUACCUCCA
rnacentral:tRNA from 1 species